AUGUCCAUCAGCCGGAAGAACUGGUCGGCUUUAUCCAGCCUGGCACGCCAGUGGACGAUGGAGGAUGAGGAGGAGGCAGAGCGGGAGAGGAGGCGGAGGGGGAAGAGCAGCAGCACUGCUGAGCCAGAUGUUGACUCCAGCCCUGAACCCAGAAACCAGUCCUCUGCCAGUGACGGUGUGUCUGGGACGGACUCCUCUAACGGGUCGCAGGACAUCAGCAGUGUGCAACAGAUGCAGCUGGACUUUGUGGAGAUGUUGCGAGUGCGCGAUGAAAAGCGGAGGAUGCGUCACGUGGAGAUACUGCGACAGCAGAAAGAGGAGGACGAUGCUGAGGGAAGCGGGAGAGGAGGAAGAGGAGGAGACGAGGGGGAUGUCAGGCUGGCUCUUCUUGGGGAGCUGAACGAGGAGGACAGUGUGUUCAAGCCACAACCACCUUUGAAAACCUCCAGUAGCAAAGCUCAAACCACUGUGGAAAGCAGACAGCAUGAAAACAGAGUGUCACACCGACCCCCCGAUCCUGAUGUCAUACCAGCAUCAAGCUCAUCUCGAAAGUUUGUCAGUUCGGUAUCCAUCUCACUAGACAACUCAUCUCCUUCUGCCAGCGGGCAGACAACUCCCACAAAUCCCUCCUCCCCAGUAGGCCGAUCGUCGCUUCAGGAUAACUGGAGUCCCUCAAUGCGAGAAAGCCAAAGCCCCGUUCAGAAUGGCCACACGCUGGAGAUGAUGAGGAAAAAAGAAGAGGAGAAAUCGCCUCUGCAGCGGAGCUCAAGCGUCAGAAUUGUCUCCAAGAAGUUUGAGUCCAGCAAGGCAGAUUUCAAGGAGCAAAACGACAAUGAGGACAAAGCGUCUUUUCAAAGAAAUUCAAGGCAGAGGAUUUCCUCCAGAUCUAUCAAGGAGAAGAUGGAGCGGCUGGCUCAGGCUGCACAGAAAUCAGAGAUGACUCGCUCUCCAGAUGUGACCCAGAGGACUCUGUUCCUGCUAGAAGAAGUCUCAAGGAAGAGAACCCUUUUUGAAAAAGACGAGCCGGCACAGAGCGUCACCAGUCCUGGAGCUUCCAGAAAAGAGUUUCAAAGUUUCACGUCAGGAAUGUCAGAACGGAUUAAUCGCUUUGUUAAGACCAACCAAUCUGGGUCCUCACUCAGUCCUGACUUGAGACAUGUGGACAUCAGCAGUAAGAGAAGCCUGUUUGAGAACAGAGGAGAGGACAGUGUCCCAAAGACCAGCCCCGGAAAAACCUACAAAUGA
rnacentral:lncRNA from 1 species